UAACAAAAACAUGUCUUUUUGAUUUAAAUAUAAAGUCUGACCUGCCCACUGAAUAUUGAAUGGCCGCAGUACACUAACUGUGCAAAGGUAGCAUAAUAAUUAGUCUUUUAAUUGAAGGCUGGAAUGAAUGGUUGGACGAAAUAUUAACUGUUUCAUAUAAAAUUAAAUUAGAAUUUUAUUUUUUAGUCAAAAAGCUAAAAUAUGAUUAAAAGACGAGAAGACCCUAUAAAUCUUUAUAUUUUUAUAUAUACUUAUUUAUUAGAUUUAUUUUGUUAGUUUAUUUAAAAAUAUUUUAUUGGGGUGAUAUUAAAAUUUAAUAAACUUUUAAUUUUAAACUUCAUUUAUUUAUGAAUAAUUGAUCCGAUUAUUUCGAUUAAAAAUUUAAGUUACUUUAGGGAUAACAGCGUAAUUUUUUUGGAGAGUUCAUAUCGAUAAAAAAGAUUGCGACCUCGAUGUUGGAUUAAGAAAUAUAUUUAGGCGUAGCAGUUUAAAUAAUAAGUCUGUUCGAC
rnacentral:rRNA from 1 species